rnacentral:piRNA from 1 species
UAUUCAGGAACCUCUCCUGUGACAUGGGGA